ACUUCUCCUGAAGUUUAUAUUAAACAUUUAUGGCUAUUAGAUGGGUAUGCGUCCUAUUAGUUAGUUGGUAAGGUAACGGCUUACCAAGGCAGCGAUAGGUAGGGGUCCUGAGAGGGAGAUCCCCACACUGGUACUGAGACACGGACCAGACUCCUACGGGAGGCAGCAGUGAGGAAUAUUGGACAAUGGGCGAGAGCCUGAUCCAGCCAUGCCGCGUGCAGGAAGACUGCCCUAUGGGUUGUAAACUGCUUUACAGAGGAAGAACCACCCCACGUGUGGGGGUUUGACGGUACUCUGCGAAUAAGGAUCGGCUAACUCCGUG
rnacentral:rRNA from 1 species